GUUCUCCUUCUCCUUCACAAGUUCAACACACACAGUUUCCUUUGUUAUUCCUGAAAGAAAGAAACGAACGAAAACACAAGAAAGAAAGGGCUAGGAAGAAACGGGGGGGAAACAGAGGGAGGCAGGGGAGGAAGAGAGGCAUGGCUAGCAACGGUGGGCAUUGCCGUCGCCGCCGAGUUGCCAGCUGCCGCCGCCAUGGCACACCGAAGGAAGAACGGGAGUGAGGGAGCUUAGUCGCGGGAAGAGGAGGCGCGGGUCUGACUCGUCCCCGCAGAUCCGCCCGUCCCGACCCGUCGCCGUCGCGAGGAGGAGAAGUCCCUGUCGCCGUUCUGUGUGGCCGCGCCAUCAUUGUUGUUCUCGGAGAUCCACGACCAGAGGGUGCCCGCGCGGGGGUGGAGGACGUUGCUGCUGUCGCCGCUGUUAGAGCCACCGCCAGCUGCGUCACCACCGCGCCUUGCCUCGCCGCCGUUGACCUCUCCAUAAUCCACUGCCGCCGGAGCUCAUGCCAUCGCCGAUUGAGCACCACGAAGAACAGCGCCGCGUGAAUCAGAGAAAGGAGAUGCCUUUCUGCCUCUGCUCCUGGGUUUUGGAUUCUGACCAGGCACCACUACUGCUGUGGAGUUAGUGUUGCUCUGGUCUUGUCCUGACUCCAUUUGGAAUCGCUGCUGUUGGUGAGUUGCAUUGCCACUGCCCUUACCGGAGGUAGUUGCUGGCUGCAUUUGGAGAUUUCUAUUGCAACUUGCGUUUGUUCUGGAGCUGUUUCAUCGGUUGCUGGAACUACUAACGAAGCAGGCUGAGUCACGGCGAUUCUGGCUGCCAAGGGCGGUUCUGUGGCUGUUGGAACCACCGUUGAGGCUUCUGUCCUUUGGUUCAAACGGAUUAAGUUAUCGGAGCCACAUGUUGCGCGUAAGGGCUUAUAUUUGCUGCUGCGAAAGUGAACAAAGAUGUGAUGCAAGCUGCCGGUAACCUUGGGUUGAUAGAGGUUUCCGGUGGCGCGUUUGGGUUAUGGUUGGCGUUUUGAGGAUUUGGGCGCAGAAGUUAUGAAGAGUUUAAUUAUUUGUUAUUGAGAUGCUCUGUAUUGCUUUAGAUUAUUAUUUUUGUACCCUCGCCUUUAUCUUGAUAUAUUUUGUAAGAGGGAUAGGGAUUGUAUUAGUUAAUGUUUGUAGUAUUAAUUAUAUAUAUAUAUAUGUAUGUAUGUAUAUACAUGGAUGUACUCUUUACGAGUUUAUUAUAAGUUGUAUGAUACCUAUGGAUGUACGUUAUCGAAUGGAGUAUCUUGGGAACGAUAUUGUGGUAAAAAAUUUUAAACAGUCCCAUAUUUUAGUAUUAAAUAGUAUAAGUGUCGUCGUAAUGUCCGAGCUAUCAGAGUUGCGC